GAACGCUGGCGGCGUGCCUAACACAUGCAAGUCGAACGAGAAUCUGUGGAUAGAGGCUUCGGCCAAUUGAAGCAGAGGACAGUGGCGAACGGGUGAGUAACGCGUGAGUAACCUGCCUUGCAGUGGGGAAUAACACAUCGAAAGAUGUGCUAAUACCGCAUGAUGUCAUUGAGGGGCAUCCCUCUGAUGACCAAAGAUUUAUCGCUGUGAGAUGGACUCGCGUCUGAUUAGCUAGUUGGUGAGGUAACGGCUCACCAAGGCGACGAUCAGUAGCCGGUCUGAGAGGAUGAACGGCCACAUUGGGACUGAGAUACGGCCCAGACUCCUACGGGAGGCAGCAGUGGGGAAUAUUGGGCAAUGGGCGAAAGCCUGACCCAGCAACGCCGCGUGAAGGAAGAAGGCCUUCGGGUUGUAAACUUCUUUUACCAGGGACGAAGAACGUGACGGUACCUGGAGAAAAAGCAACGGCUAACUACGUG
rnacentral:rRNA from 1 species